rnacentral:rRNA from 1 species
UGGGGAAUUUUGGACAAUGGGCGAAAGCCUGAUCCAGCAAUGCCGCGUGUGUGAAGAAGGCCUUCGGGUUGUAAAGCACUUUUGUCCGGAAAGAAAUCCUUGGGCUCUAAUACAGUCGGGGGAUGACGGUACCGGAAGAAUAAGCACCGGCUAACUACGUGCCAGCAGCCGCGGUAAUACGUAGGGUGCAAGCGUUAAUCGGAAUUACUGGGCGUAAAGCGUGCGCAGGCGGUUUGCUAAGACCGAUGUGAAAUCCCCGGGCUCAACCUGGGAACUGCAUUGGUGACUGGCAGGCUAGAGUAUGGCAGAGGGGGGUAGAAUUCCACGUGUAGCAGUGAAAUGCGUAGAGAUGUGGAGGAAUACCGAUGGCGAAGGCAGCCCCCUGGGCCAAUACUGACGCUCAUGCACGAAAGCGUGGGGAGCAAACAGGAUUAGAUACCCUGGUAGUCCACGCCCUAAACGAUGUCAACUAGUUGUUGGGGAUUCAUUUCCUUAGUAACGUAGCUAACGCGUGAAGUUGACCGCCUGGGGAGUACGGUCG